rnacentral:rRNA from 2 species
GGGUUGUGAGGUUAAGCGACUAAGCGUACACGGUGGAUGCCCUGGCAGUCAGAGGCGAUGAAGGGCGUGCUAAUCUGCGAUAAGCGCCGGUAAGGUGAUAUGAACCGUUAUAACCGGCGAUACCCGAAUGGGGAAACCCAGUGUGAUUCGUCACACUAUCAUUAACUGAAUCCAUAGGUUAAUGAGGCGAACCGGGGGAACUGAAACAUCUAAGUACCCCGAGGAAAAGAAAUCAACCGAGAUUCCCCCAGUAGCGGCGAGCGAACGGGGAGGAGCCCAGAGCCUGAAUCAGCAUGUGUGUUAGUGGAAGCGUCUGGAAAGGCGCGCGAUACAGGGUGACAGCCCCGUACACAAAAGCGUAUGUGCUGUGAGCUCGAUGAGUAGGGCGGGACACGUGGUAUCCUGUCUGAAUAUGGGGGGACCAUCCUCCAAGGCUAAAUACUCCUGACUGACCGAUAGUGAACCAGUACCGUGAGGGAAAGGCGAAAAGAACCCCGGCGAGGGGAGUGAAAAAGAACCUGAAACCGUGUACGUACAAGCAGUGGGAGCACCCUUUGGGGUGUGACUGCGUACCUUUUGUAUAAUGGGUCAGCGACUUAUAUUCUGUAGCAAGGUUAACCGAAUAGGGGAGCCGGAGGGAAACCGAGUCUUAAUUGGGCGUUAAGUUGCAGGGUAUAGACCCGAAACCCGGUGAUCUAGCCAUGGGCAGGUUGAAGGUUGGGUAACACUAACUGGAGGACCGAACCGACUAAUGUUGAAAAAUUAGCGGAUGACCUGUGGCUGGGGGUGAAAGGCCAAUCAAACCGGGAGAUAGCUGGUUCUCCCCGAAAGCUAUUUAGGUAGCGCCUCGUGAAUUCAUCUCCGGGGGUAGAGCACUGUUUCGGCUAGGGGGUCAUCCCGACUUACCAACCCGAUGCAAACUGCGAAUACCGGAGAAUGUUAUCACGGGAGACACACGGCGGGUGCUAACGUCCGUCGUGAAGAGGGAAACAACCCAGACCGCCAGCUAAGGUCCCAAAGUCAUGGUUAAGUGGGAAACGAUGUGGGAAGGCCCAGACAGCCAGGAUGUUGGCUUAGAAGCAGCCAUCAUUUAAAGAAAGCGUAAUAGCUCACUGGUCGAGUCGGCCUGCGCGGAAGAUGUAACGGGGCUAAACCAUGCACCGAAGCUGCGGCAGC